rnacentral:piRNA from 1 species
GUUGCCAGCUAACUUUAGAUUUGGGAC